rnacentral:SRP_RNA from 1 species
UUGCUGUUGUUGCUACCAUUGCUUUGGGUGCAAAUCUCAGUUGGUUGGCC